rfam:Calypte anna contig121856, whole genome shotgun sequence.
GGACCUGAACCUUUCCUGUCUCCUUGCUGUGCAGUGCAGUUCUGGGGACAGUUGGUGCUACAGCACAGGAGUGGAAAUCCAGAUGGGUUCCACUGGAGUGGAUGAGUUUCCUUUGGAACUCAUCUUCACACUUCUGUAAUAUUU